AGCCAGGAUGUUGGCUUAGAAGCAGCCAUCAUUUAAAGAAAGCGUAAUAGCUCACUGGUCGAGUCGGCCUGCGCGGAAGAUGUAACGGGGCUAAACCAUGCACCGAAGCUGCGGCAGCGACGCUUAGGCGUUGUUGGGUAGGGGAGCGUUCUGUAAGCCGUUGAAGGUGGCCUGUGAGGGUUGCUGGAGGUAUCAGAAGUGCGAAUGCUGACAUAAGUAACGAUAAUGCGGGUGAAAAACCCGCACGCCGGAAGACCAAGGGUUCCUGUCCAACGUUAAUCGGGGCAGGGUGAGUCGACCCCUAAGGCGAGGCCGAAAGGCGUAGUCGAUGGGAAACAGGUUAAUAUUCCUGUACUUGGUGUUACUGCGAAGGGGGGACGGAGAAGGCUAUGUUGGCCGGGCGACGGUUGUCCCGGUUUAAGCGUGUAGGUGUGUGUUCCAGGUAAAUCCGGUUCACUUUAACACUGAGGCGUGAUGACGAGGCACUACGGUGCUGAAGUGACAAAUGCCCUGCUUCCAGGAAAAGCCUCUAAGCAUCAGGUAACAUCAAAUCGUACCCCAAACCGACACAGGUGGUCAGGUAGAGAAUACCAAGGCGCUUGAGAGAACUCGGGUGAAGGAACUAGGCAAAAUGGUGCCGUAACUUCGGGAGAAGGCACGCUGAUAUGUAGGUGAAGUGGUUUACCCAUGGAGCUGAAAUCAGUCGAAGAUACCAGCUGGCUGCAACUGUUUAUUAAAAACACAGCACUGUGCAAACACGAAAGUGGACGUAUACGGUGUGACGCCUGCCCGGUGCCGGAAGGUUAAUUGAUGGGGUUAUCCGUAAGGAGAAGCUCUUGAUCGAAGCCCCGGUAAACGGCGGCCGUAACUAUAACGGUCCUAAGGUAGCGAAAUUCCUUGUCGGGUAAGUUCCGACCUGCACGAAUGGCGUAAUGAUGGCCAGGCUGUCUCCACCCGAGACUCAGUGAAAUUGAACUCGCUGUGAAGAUGCAGUGUACCCGCGGCAAGACGGAAAGACCCCGUGAACCUUUACUAUAGCUUGACACUGAACACUGGUCCUUGAUGUGUAGGAUAGGUGGGAGGCUUUGAAGUGUGGACGCCAGUCUGCAUGGAGCCAUCCUUGAAAUACCACCCUUUAAUGGCUGGUGUUCUAACGUGGGCCCGUAAUCCGGGUUGCGGACAGUGUCUGGUGGGUAGUUUGACUGGGGCGGUCUCCUCCUAAAGAGUAACGGAGGAGCACGAAGGUCAGCUAAUCCUGGUCGGACAUCAGGAGGUUAGUGCAAUGGCAUAAGCUGGCUUGACUGCGAGCGUGACGGCGCGAGCAGGUGCGAAAGCAGGUCAUAGUGAUCCGGUGGUUCUGAAUGGAAGGGCCAUCGCUCAACGGAUAAAAGGUACUCCGGGGAUAACAGGCUGAUACCGCCCAAGAGUUCAUAUCGACGGCGGUGUUUGGCACCUCGAUGUCGGCUCAUCACAUCCUGGGGCUGAAGUAGGUCCCAAGGGUAUGGCUGUUCGCCAUUUAAAGUGGUACGCGAGCUGGGUUUAGAACGUCGUGAGACAGUUCGGUCCCUAUCUGCCGUGGGCGCUGGAGAAUUGAGGGGGGCUGCUCCUAGUACGAGAGGACCGGAGUGGACGCAUCACUGGUGUUCGGGUUGUCAUGCCAAUGGCAUUGCCCGGUAGCUAAAUGCGGAAGAGAUAAGUGCUGAAAGCAUCUAAGUACGAAACUUGCCCCGAGAUGAGUUCUCCCUGACUCCUUGA
rnacentral:rRNA from 1 species